rnacentral:rRNA from 1 species
AUGCAUGAGUUAACUAAGGAAAACAUUGAGCGCAUGAAUGCUAAAUAUAAACUUGCUGGAGAUAAGGGUAGAAAACAUGUUGUGUUUGCACCUGGAGAUCUUGUUUGGUUACAUUUGCGUAAGGAUAGAUUUCCUGAUUUGCGCAAAUUAAAGUUAAUGCCACGUGCUGAUGGUCCCUUUAAGGUGUUAGAGAAAAUAAAUGAUAAUGCAUAUAAACUUGAGCUGCCUGCAGAUUUUGGGGUUAGUCCCACUUUUAACAUUGCAGAUUUGAAGCCUUAUUUGGGUGAGGAAGAUGAACUUCCGUCGAGGAUGACUUCAUUUCAAGAAGGGGAGGAUGAUGAGGACAUCAAUACAAUUGUUACACCCACAGCCCCUGCUGCUAUACAUACUGGACCAAUUACUAGAGCUCGUGCACGCCAACUAAAUUACCAGGAAUAG